rnacentral:rRNA from 1 species
UACAGAGGUCCCAAGCGUUGUUCGGAUUCACUGGGCGUAAAGGGUGCGUAGGCGGUCGGGUAAGUCUGAUGUGAAAUCUCACAGCUUAACUGUGAAACUGCAUUGGAUACUAUCCGGCUAGAGGAAUGGAGGGGAGACUGGAAUACUUGGUGUAGCAGUGAAAUGCGUAGAUAUCAAGUGGAACACCAGUGGCGAAGGCAGCUCGCUGGGACGGUACUGACGCUGAGACGCGAAAGCGUGGGGAGCAAACAGG